rfam:Triticum aestivum genome assembly, contig: Triticum_aestivum_CS42_TGACv1_scaffold_197633_3AL
UCAUUCGGAUUCGCCAUCAUACGCCCAACCGUGCAUUUGAUAUGCAUAUAUAUGCAUCACCAGCCACAGUAGGGCUGUAUGAUGGCGAUACCGAUUGG